rnacentral:rRNA from 1 species
AAAGUCGUAACAAGGUCUCCGUUGGUGAACCAGCGGAGGGAUCAUUACCGAGUUUACAACUCCCAAACCCAAUGUGAACGUUACCAAACUGUUGCCUCGGCGGGAUCUCUGCCCCGGGUGCGUCGCAGCCCCGGACCAAGGCGCCCGCCGGAGGACCAACCAAAACUCUUUUUGUAUACCCCCUCGCGGGUUUUUUAUAAUCUGAGCCUUCUCGGCGCCUCUCGUAGGCGUUUCGAAAAUGAAUCAAAACUUUCAACAACGGAUCUCUUGGUUCUGGCAUCGAUGAAGAACGCAGCGAAAUGCGAUAAGUAAUGUGAAUUGCAGAAUUCAGUGAAUCAUCGAAUCUUUGAACGCACAUUGCGCCCGCCAGUAUUCUGGCGGGCAUGCCUGUCCGAGCGUCAUUUCAACCCUCGAACCCCUCCGGGGGGUCGGCGUUGGGGGUCGGCCCUGCCUCUUGGCGGUGGCCGUCUCCGAAAUACAGUGGCGGUCUCGCCGCAGCCUCUCCUGCGCAGUAGUUUGCACACUCGCAUCGGGAGCGCGGCGCGUCCACAGCCGUUAAACACCCAACUUCUGAAAUGUUGACCUCGGAUCAGGUAGGAAUACCCGCUGAACUUAA